rnacentral:misc_RNA from 1 species
UGGUUCUGGCAUNGAUGAAGAACGCAGCGAAAUGCGAUAAGUAAUGUGAAUUGCAGAAUUCAGUGAAUCAUCGAAUCUUUGAACGCACAUUGCGCCCCAUGGUAUUCUGUGGGGCAUGCCUGUUCGAGCGUCAUUUCACCACUCCAGCCUCGCUGGGUAUUGGGCGCCGCGGUCCGCUGCGCGCCUCAAAGUGCUCCGGCUGAGCCGUCCGUCUCACCCGCGUUGUGACACAGUAUCGCGAUCGAGUGCGGAUGGCCGUGGCCGUUAAACUCUUAUUCAGGUUGACCUCGGAUCAGGUAGGGAUACCCGCUGA